AUUGAACGCUGGCGGCAGGCCUAACACAUGCAAGUCGAGCGAGCGGCGGACGGGUGAGUAAUGUCUGGGAAACCGCCCGAUGGAGGGGGAUAACUACUGGAAACGGUUGCUAAUACCGCCUACUAUUAGAUGUGACCAGGGGGGAUUGGCUGGUAGGUGGGGUAACGGCUCACCAGGGCGACGAUCCCUAGCUGGUCUGAGAGGAUGACCAGCAAAACUGGAACGGAGACACGGUCCAGACUCCUACGGGAGGAAGCAGUGGGGAAUAUUGGACAAUGGGCGAAAGCCUGAUGCAGCCAGGCCGCGGGGGUGAAGAAGGUCUUCGGUUUGUAAAGCCCUUUGAGCGGGGAGGCGUUACCCGCAGAGGAAGCACCGGCUAACUACGUGCCAGCCGCCGCGGUAAUUC
rnacentral:rRNA from 1 species